rnacentral:rRNA from 630 species
UUAAGUUAUUAAGGGCGCACGGUGGAUGCCUUGGCACUAGAAGCCGAUGAAGGACGUUACUAACGACGAUAUGCUUUGGGGAGCUGUAAGUAAGCUUUGAUCCAGAGAUUUCCGAAUGGGGAAACCCAGCAUGAGUUAUGUCAUGUUAUCGAUAUGUGAAUACAUAGCAUAUCAGAAGGCACACCCGGAGAACUGAAACAUCUUAGUACCCGGAGGAAGAGAAAGAAAAUUCGAUUCCCUUAGUAGCGGCGAGCGAAACGGGAAGAGCCCAAACCAACAAGCUUGCUUGUUGGGGUUGUAGGACACUCUAUACGGAGUUACAAAGGACGACAUUAGACGAAUCAUCUGGAAAGAUGAAUCAAAGAAGGUAAUAAUCCUGUAGUCGAAAAUGUUGUCUCUCUUGAGUGGAUCCUGAGUACGACGGAGCACGUGAAAUUCCGUCGGAAUCUGGGAGGACCAUCUCCUAAGGCUAAAUACUCUCUAGUGACCGAUAGUGAACCAGUACCGUGAGGGAAAGGUGAAAAGCACCCCGGAAGGGGAGUGAAAUAGAACCUGAAACCGUGUGCUUACAAGUAGUCAGAGCCCGUUAAUGGGUGAUGGCGUGCCUUUUGUAGAAUGAACCGGCGAGUUACGAUUUGAUGCAAGGUUAAGCAGUAAAUGUGGAGCCGUAGCGAAAGCGAGUCUGAAUAGGGCGUUUAGUAUUUGGUCGUAGACCCGAAACCAGGUGAUCUACCCUUGGUCAGGUUGAAGUUCAGGUAACACUGAAUGGAGGACCGAACCGACUUACGUUGAAAAGUGAGCGGAUGAACUGAGGGUAGCGGAGAAAUUCCAAUCGAACCUGGAGAUAGCUGGUUCUCUCCGAAAUAGCUUUAGGGCUAGCCUCAAGUGAUGAUUAUUGGAGGUAGAGCACUGUUUGGACGAGGGGCCCCUCUCGGGUUACCGAAUUCAGACAAACUCCGAAUGCCAAUUAAUUUAACUUGGGAGUCAGAACAUGGGUGAUAAGGUCCGUGUUCGAAAGGGAAACAGCCCAGACCACCAGCUAAGGUCCCAAAAUAUAUGUUAAGUGGAAAAGGAUGUGGCGUUGCCCAGACAACUAGGAUGUUGGCUUAGAAGCAGCCAUCAUUUAAAGAGUGCGUAAUAGCUCACUAGUCGAGUGACACUGCGCCGAAAAUGUACCGGGGCUAAACAUAUUACCGAAGCUGUGGAUUGUCCUUUGGACAAUGGUAGGAGAGCGUUCUAAGGGCGUUGAAGCAUGAUCGUAAGGACAUGUGGAGCGCUUAGAAGUGAGAAUGCCGGUGUGAGUAGCGAAAGACGGGUGAGAAUCCCGUCCACCGAUUGACUAAGGUUUCCAGAGGAAGGCUCGUCCGCUCUGGGUUAGUCGGGUCCUAAGCUGAGGCCGACAGGCGUAGGCGAUGGAUAACAGGUUGAUAUUCCUGUACCACCUAUAAUCGUUUUAAUCGAUGGGGGGACGCAGUAGGAUAGGCGAAGCGUGCGAUUGGAUUGCACGUCUAAGCAGUAAGGCUGAGUAUUAGGCAAAUCCGGUACUCGUUAAGGCUGAGCUGUGAUGGGGAGAAGACAUUGAGUCUUCGAGUCGUUGAUUUCACACUGCCGAGAAAAGCCUCUAGAUAGAAAAUAGGUGCCCGUACCGCAAACCGACACAGGUAGUCAAGAUGAGAAUUCUAAGGUGAGCGAGCGAACUCUCGUUAAGGAACUCGGCAAAAUGACCCCGUAACUUCGGGAGAAGGGGUGCUCUUUAGGGUUAACGCCCAGAAGAGCCGCAGUGAAUAGGCCCAAGCGACUGUUUAUCAAAAACACAGGUCUCUGCUAAACCGUAAGGUGAUGUAUAGGGGCUGACGCCUGCCCGGUGCUGGAAGGUUAAGAGGAGUGGUUAGCUUCUGCGAAGCUACGAAUCGAAGCCCCAGUAAACGGCGGCCGUAACUAUAACGGUCCUAAGGUAGCGAAAUUCCUUGUCGGGUAAGUUCCGACCCGCACGAAAGGCGUAACGAUUUGGGCACUGUCUCAACGAGAGACUCGGUGAAAUCAUAGUACCUGUGAAGAUGCAGGUUACCCGCGACAGGACGGAAAGACCCCGUGGAGCUUUACUGUAGCCUGAUAUUGAAAUUCGGCACAGCUUGUACAGGAUAGGUAGGAGCCUUUGAAACGUGAGCGCUAGCUUACGUGGAGGCGCUGGUGGGAUACUACCCUAGCUGUGUUGGCUUUCUAACCCGCACCACUUAUCGUGGUGGGAGACAGUGUCAAGCGGGCAGUUUGACUGGGGCGGUCGCCUCCUAAAAGGUAACGGAGGCGCUCAAAGGUUCCCUCAGAAUGGUUGGAAAUCAUUCAUAGAGUGUAAAGGCAUAAGGGAGCUUGACUGCGAGACCUACAAGUCGAGCAGGGUCGAAAGACGGACUUAGUGAUCCGGUGGUUCCGCAUGGAAGGGCCAUCGCUCAACGGAUAAAAGCUACCCCGGGGAUAACAGGCUUAUCUCCCCCAAGAGUUCACAUCGACGGGGAGGUUUGGCACCUCGAUGUCGGCUCAUCGCAUCCUGGGGCUGUAGUCGGUCCCAAGGGUUGGGCUGUUCGCCCAUUAAAGCGGUACGCGAGCUGGGUUCAGAACGUCGUGAGACAGUUCGGUCCCUAUCCGUCGUGGGCGUAGGAAAUUUGAGAGGAGCUGUCCUUAGUACGAGAGGACCGGGAUGGACAUACCUCUGGUGUACCAGUUGUCGUGCCAACGGCAUAGCUGGGUAGCUAUGUGUGGACGGGAUAAGUGCUGAAAGCAUCUAAGCAUGAAGCCCCCCUCAAGAUGAGAUUUCCCAACUUCGGUUAUAAGAUCCCUCAAAGAUGAUGAGGUUAAUAGGUUCGAGGUGGAAGCAUGGUGACAUGUGGAGCUGACGAAUACUAAUCGAUCGAAGACUUAAUCAA